rnacentral:misc_RNA from 1 species
UGCCAAUUUGAAAUGCAUAAGCCUCAACCAAAAUAUAUAUGUCUGAUCUUUGUCAUAGAAAAUUCUAUCACCACAUGAACCACGAACAUAAACCCAAGCAUCUAAAAAUUUUCAUUAAUCGGCGGCAAGCAAGCUAUGACAGACGAGUUUCAUGCCCUUAUUGCCAAUAUGGAGUACAACUAUGGCAAUUUGCUUGCCUGGUUUGCUUUACUAUUUUUAAUAACUAUGUUUCUCCUGCUGAAACAGAGACAGUCAAGACUCAGUGCCAAGCAACUACCACCAGGGCCUCCAUCUUGGCCGGUCUUUGGUAAUAUCUUCGAUAUUGGAACCAUUCCACACCAAAAUUUAUACCAGCUUAAAGCCAAAUAUGGGCCUGUACUUUGGUUGAGACUGGGGUGCAUAAACACCCUGGUGAUACAGUCUGCCAAGGCAGCAGAAGAGCUGUUCAAGAAUCAUGAUGUUAGUUUCUGUGACCGUAAAGUUCCUGUAUCUUUCACAGCUCAUAACUACAGCCAGAUAGCGCUCGCUCUAGACCGGUAUGGCUCCAGCUGGCGCUUUCAUCGCCGGCUUGUCACAGUGGAGCUCAUGACCAACAAG